GAGAGAGAGAGAGAGAGAGAGAAUGGGGAGGAAAAAGCAAUGGGGAGGAAAAAGUAGUGCCUGGAGCUUUUGAAAGGGCUCAGAGCUUUGUGGGACGUGGACAGCUGUGGCUGUGAUCUGCUGCUGCAGGGAAGCCCCGAGUCACCAGCCUUACAGUGUGUCCUCCUGGAAGGAACUGGAGGAGGUAGCAUGUGUACACUCACCUCUAGGCUCUGUUCUAGGCAAGCUUAUCUCUGAGCUGCCCAUAGCAGGGAUGGCUGCGCUACAGAUGUGCUCUUACCCUAAGAUUCACUCUGUAUUGUUUCUGGCCACGUUCAAGCUACGCUCAAGGACAAGACCGUCUGAUACCUCUAUUUUCAAUAAGGUCUUUUUCUAUGUCCUGUGGUGACCAGUGCAGCGAUUUCGAAGUUCUCCUGCCAUGUACCACUGUGAAGGAUCUGGCUCCAGCUCCUUGCUGGACUCCCUGUAGACAUGAGGAGCUGAUUCAGGUGGUUGAUGGCCAUCUCUUCUCCAGGCUGAAAAAGCCUCACUCCCUCAGCCUCUCCUGACAGAACAAGUGCUUCCAAAUUGCUGUUGGAAAUCCCUGUGUUGGCAAGAAACCACAUCAUAUUUACUCUGUCAGUUGGUUACUCUAACCUCGUUCAUUCAAUCAUGAAAGGAGUGAAAGAACUUGACAGCUCUCUUGGAUCUUGCAUGUUUAAUUCAUUUUCAUAUUUUCCUUCCUGACAAGAAGAAUGCCCUGUUGAUCACAAAGUGGGAUACUAAUGUUUGACCUGAUUCUGCAAGGCAACAAAACUCACAAGUUUUGUAUGCCUGACAAUUCCCAGAAGCCAAUAAAUACAACAAGGAUGUUGGCUAGUUGAUGUAUUUCAGUAUUCAACAGUAUUCAAGAGGAAAAACCAGUCAGGAGAGAGCAAACUACAAAGGAGUUUUCCAGAGGAAAUUUGCUUAAAGUCCACAGAAGAAUGAGACUCAACUGAUGUCUAGGAGGAGCAAACAGGACUUCAAAUACCAUGGAGUCAUCCUGGAAAUAACCUUCCUGGAACAGCAGAUUUGUGGAACUCACUUUAUUUACUACACAAGAUCUGAAUCAGUUUUGUUUAAGGCAAAUAACUGUACUAAAUGAGAUGUUGUGAGCACUUAUCUAUCAGUCACUUUGAUCUAUUUUGACUCAUCCUUUUAAAUUUGAACAUAACAUAGGAAUACAGUAACAGUAACUUCCUCAGAAGCUCUUUAAAAAAAAACAGAAUAUAACAAAGAGAUGAGCAAAUCUACGCUGUUGCAGACUGGGUAGCUGGAGCAUGCCUUUUCGAAGAUCAAUACAGUUUUUAUUUUAGGGUCAGAAAUAGAGAAUCCUCUUGAUCCCUUGAUAGGCUUUUCAACUUUUUUAUUACUCUCAUAGCUGAAAAAAAAAAGUUUCUAAACACAGUGGUUAAUGCAAAUGCACUCAUUUAGAGGGAUCUAGAACAGAAUUUCAUAUGAAUUUUUCAAGAUACUGCUUUGAUCUCAUUUGUGAGAAUGUGUGUGUGUGAGUUUGAUUUAAAUCUAUCUAUACCUGCACGCUCAUUUUAUGUUUCAAAAACUUAACAAGAUAUGUAGGUAGGUAAGGUGGGAAAUUAUGAGUAUGUCAUUGAGGACACGCAUAAAUAUAAAUCAUUGGCUCUGAAAAAAUGAGUCCUUUGGAAAGCAUGUUGAGUAAACUAAUUAGUAUUUAUGUAAAACCACUCAGGUCCCCAGCAAUAUCAUUCCAGAAAAGGUUUUCCCUUCAAGUAAGUAAACGCAAGGCCCUUACCUACUUGCAAAGUUUUAAAUCUCAUAAUGCAAAAUGUCACAUUAUUUUGACCAAACACAAACAUUUUUGUUUGUUUUUUGAGACUGCAGUAAGGGGUUGUUUGUGGUGCCAGCCAGUUCUUAUUUCAGUGCAGCAGCCGAGCAUCUGUGACUCUUGAAUCUGUAUGAGUUACAAGUUUAAAAGUUUAAAGCUUUCCCGUAAAUGCUGAUCAUAAGGAAAUGGAUUAAAGAAACAAAAUAUAGAACUUGUUGAACUCGUCUCUAUUUUAAACUGAAGGGAUUGCAUCUGACGAACCCUUUUGUUUUAAAGUAGCCAUCUUGACAGCAGUGAGAACAGAUUGAGUUACUUAAAGGGCCACUGACAAAUCUGGGGAAACAGAAACCCCUGCAAGUUAGGACAGGGUUCUUCAGUGUCAGAAAACAGGAACUGUGUGAUGUGAUAUCAUCUGCUGCUUUUGUUCAUUCCUCCCUGUCACCCAGUUGUGUUUGCCAGGUUGUGAUUCAAUCUAAGAAGACAUGGAGUAAUAAGGAGAGAAAAGUCCCCUAUUCACUGCUUCCACUCAUGUUGGUGAGUUAGUUCCCUAUCAGAGAACCAAGCGUGGGAGCCUGGAGAGGGAAGCAGUAGACCCCAAAUCGUGUGUGUACAUGCACAUGGCUGCUACAUGCACACCUUCUGCACUGCUGGUACCCUAGGGAAACUAUUGUGAUCUCCUGGGAGUGGGAAAAGCCCAGGAAUUAAUUAUGCAUCCAGUUUUGGUAAGUGAUUUUACCUUUUUAUUUAUGAAAAUUUCAGUUCCCUUUUCCCCUCUAAUUGCACAUGCAUACUUUUAAACAGAGGACAAGCACAGAGAUAUCCCAUUUGAUGAAAAAAAAAAAAGUUCUUAAAAUCAUUUUCUGAGCAAGGACCACAAAGCUGAGACAAUCUCAGUUAACAAAUAAGGCUAUGCAAUCUGGCUGAAUAUCCUUUCUUUUUAAACAUCCCCUCCAGCUAACAUGAGGACCUCAUUGAAGUAGAUUAUGUAUAUGACUAAAAUAAGGAGCCUGAGCUUAGAAGUCUAGUGCCUUCUGAUGACCCCUAGAUGUCUGGUGCUAUUGGACACCUCAGGGUAUCCAGGGCAAAGGGUUCGUCAAUAGGACAUGGAAGUACUGGAAUGUUUUGGAUGGAGGCCACAUGAGAUACCUCACAAUACAUAAGAAAUCCUUGGAGAAUGAUUUUCAGGAUCUCUGUGCCAAGCUUUAAAUGAAAGUUGAGGGAGAUUCACCUUCAUGUUGCAGAUGACAAAACUUAGGUGUCACUGCAGGCAUGACGUGGGAGCCAACUAUUUGAGCACCUGGCGUCCUCUGUGGAGUCCUUGCCACUACAGUGUGGGUCUGGACUGCAGUGUUGCAUAGAAGUCUUCCUUGCUACAAACUGAGAAGCUCUUUGGACCCCCUGCACCAACUGCCACUUUUUAUAUGAGGGCUGCUCCAAAAGUAAUGCUUUCUAUUUCAUUACAUUGGACCAAGAACUUCAGAGUCAGUUGUUGGUAAUAUGGCAGUAGAGAUUGAACCGUCCCAACAACAGGCCAUUACAUUUUGUUGCUCUAUGCAACAGGGAGCAGAAUGGCAGUCUGACAUGGAAGUGUGUGUGAAACAAAGGUGUGUCAUUGAAUUCCUCCAUGAGGUGGAUGUGAGUACAGUGAGGAGAUGGGUUUUAUAUUUCAGCAGCGGAGUUGGCAACAUGAAAGACAAGUCAAAUUCCAGAUGACCAUGCAGAUUGUUUCAAGCAUGGCAUACAGGUUCUUUUUCAUCACUGGUGGAAAUGCAUAGCUAAUAGUUGUGACUAUGUUGCAAAGUAUUGUUUUAUAGCUGAGAAUUUGCUCUAUCAACUAGUGUUCUUGUGCUCUUUGUAUCCAUUGUAGUUUCCAUGGAAAUAAAUGGGUGGCAUUACUUUCAGAGCAACUCACAGAGAUGAGUGGAUGCUCAGAGUUUUUAAUGAACUG